UGCCAUAUCAAUAAGCUGAGGAAAAGAAACCAACAGGGAUUGCCUCAGUAGCGGCGAGUGAAGCGGCAAAAGCUCAAAUUUGAAAUCUGGCGUCUUUGGCGUCCGAGUUGUAAUUUGAAGAAGGUAUCUUUGGGCCCGGCUCUUGUCUAUGUUCCUUGGAACAGGACGUCACAGAGGGUGAGAAUCCCGUGCGAUGAGAUGGCCCGGGUCUAUAUAAAGUUCCUUCGACGAGUCGAGUUGUUUGGGAAUA
rnacentral:rRNA from 1 species